GGCGGACGGCUGAGUAACGCGUAGGUGACUUGCCCAAAAGUGGGGAAUAACGAUUCGAAAGAAUCGCUAAUACCGCAUGUGGUUGUGCGUAUAGACACGUGCAACGAAAGCUCGCAAGGGCGCUUUUGGAGAGGCCUGCGUCCGAUUAGCUAGUUGGUGGGGUAAUGGCCUACCAAGGCUCCGAUCGGUAGCUGAUCUGAGAGGAUGAUCAGCCAGACUGGGACUGAGACACGGCCCAGACUCCUACGGGAGGCAGCAGUUAGGAAUUUUGCACAAUGGGGGAAACCCUGAUGCAGCAACGCCGCGUGGAUGAAGAAGGCCUUCGGGUCGUAAAAUCCUUUUCAACGGGAAGAAACGGACGGUACCGUUGGAAUAAGCUUCGGCUAACUACGUGCCAGCAGCCGCGGUAAUACGUAGGAAGCGAGCGUUAUCCGGAUUUACUGGGCGUAAAGAGCGCGUAGGUGGUUUCGUAAGUUGGGCGUGAAAGCCCCCGGCUUAACUGGGGAGGGUCGUUCAAAACUACGAGACUUGAGGGUGGAAGAGGAGAUUG
rnacentral:rRNA from 1 species